rnacentral:rRNA from 1 species
CUAGCUUGCUAAUAAUUCUCUAGUGGCGCACGGGUGAGUAACACGUGAGUACCUGCCCCCAAGAGUGGGAUAGCCCCGGGAAACUGGGAUUAAUACCGCAUAAAGCAAUAAAGCAGCAAUGCGCUUGGGGAUGGGCUCGCGUCCUAUUAGUUAGUUGGUGAGGUAACGGCUCACCAAGGCGAUGACGGGUAGCCGGUCUGAGAGGAUGUCCGGCCACACUGGAACUGAGACACGGUCCAGACACCUACGGGUGGCAGCAGUCGAGAAUCAUUCACAAUGGGGGAAACCCUGAUGGUGCGACGCCGCGUGGGGGAUAAGGUCUUCGGAUUGUAAACCCCUGUCAUGUGGGACAUUAAAAGAUAGUACCACAAGAGGAAGAGACGGCUAACUCUGUGCCAGCAGCCGCGGUAAUACAGAGGUCUCAAGCGUUGUUCGGAAUCACUGGGCGUAAAGCGUGCGUAGGCGGUUUCGUAAGUCGUGUGUGAAAGGCGGGGGCUCAACCCCCGGACUGCACAUGAUACUGCGAGACUAGAGUAAUGGAGGGGGAACCGGAAUUCUCGGUGUAGCAGUG